rnacentral:misc_RNA from 1 species
CCGGUCGGGGAGUUCAAGCCAACAGACUUAUAAUACUGCCAGAGAAACUACAGGCAAUGAACAACCGGAAUGUGGUGGAGGAGAAUUGGAUUUAGCUAUCAGGCUGGGACUUCUAAAGUUGGUUACUGGUGUGUCUGGUGUAACACAAGUAAUACCAGAAACAUUCAGUCUGAACCUUCACCGGAUAAGGGCCAUUCAAGCUGAAGUUCAAAAAAUAAUUGUCACGACAACGAGCAUACUUGUUUGCCGGCAGAUCCUCCUGAGCCAGGGAAGUUCAACAAUGACCACUACAGACCUUGAAACUGCAAUCUCGAAUUGUGCUCAACAGCUUUCAAACAUGUUAGACCGAGAUGAAAAUGCAGGAACCGAAGAAAUUACGGAGGCAAUAGUUCAAUUCACAGGAGAUGGUGAUGCUGAAGUGCUUCAAUCAAGGAGGGUAGUCGUCAGCCGGAUGAUAAGAAAAUGCUUGCAGGCAGGGGAUGCCGUGUUUGAAAAGGUGUCACGUGCUGUUUACUUGGGAGCGCGAGGCGUGAUUCUGGGUGGAAGCGGGGUUACUGGAAGAAGAUUAGCAGAAAUGGGUCUACGGCAAGUCGGAGGUGCCGUCCUAACCGAAAGGAUGGUGAAAGCUGCCGAAGUUUUAGUACAGGUAGCGAGCAUAUCAGUUAACGUUCAUGAAGCAUGGUACGUUGAUUUGGUUAAUUUGAUUGAUUGUGAAAUAUGAAGAAAUGGGAUUAGAGUAAAUAAGAAAAAUGUAAAGAAGAAACCAUAUGUGUAUAUAAAUUAGUGUGUGAAAAGAAGUAUUGUGUGUUGGUAGUGAAUUCAAUUCCACAGUUGAAAGCUGUGUAGUGGAUAGUGGAUAGUGGAUAGUGUUGUAGCAAGG